rnacentral:rRNA from 1 species
GACGAACGCUGGCGGCGUGCUUAACACAUGCAAGUCGAACGGAAAGGCCUCUUUCGGGGGGUACUCGAGUUGCCAACGGGUGAGUAACACAUGAGUAACCUGCCCUUGACUUUGAGAUGACUACAGGAAACUGGGGCUAAUACCGGCUAGGAGCUCCUUCUGCAUGGUGGGUGUUGGAAAGUUUCGGCGGUUGGGGAUGGACUCGCGGCUUAUCAGCUUGGUGGUGGGGUAGUGGCUUACUAAGGCUUUGACGGGUAGCCGGCCUGUGAGCGUGACCGGCCACAUUGGGACUGAGAUACGGAGCAGUCUCGUAUGGGACGCAGCAGUGGGGAACAUUGCGCAGUGGGGCGAAGCCUGAUGCAGCAACGCCGUGUGCGGGAUGACGGCCUUCGAGUUGUAAACAGCUUUCGCUGAUGACGAAGCUUUGUGUGACGGUAGUGGGUAAAGAAGCACCGGUAAACUCCGU